GGAAUUUUAAACAACAGCAAUUUGUGUCCUAAAAAAAUCAACAACAAUCUGCUAGUAGUUAGUAGUAUUUAUUUUAAUCAGGAGAGGCAUGUUCUGAACUUCUGACGAAACUGAAACUGAAUGAGGAUGAGCCGUCACCGUCGACGAAAGCUCUGACGAAACUGAAGAACCAGGAGCAGCGGCAGGAUGAUGUUCUGAAGAAACUGAAACUGAACGAGGAUGAAGGAGUGAAG
rnacentral:lncRNA from 1 species